rnacentral:rRNA from 1 species
CAGUCGCCGCGGUAAUACGGAGGAUCCGAGCGUUAUCCGGAAUUAUUGGGUUUAAAGGGUGCGUAGGCGGAUAGAUAAGUCAGUGGUGAAAGACGGUGGCUCAACCAUCGCAGUGCCGUUGAUACUGUUUAUCUUGAAUAUGGAUGAGGUAGGCGGAAUGUGGCAAGUAGCGGUGAAAUGCAUAGAUAUGCCACAGAACACCGAUUGCGAAGGCAGCUUACCAAGGCAAAAUUGACGCUGAGGCACGAAAGCGUGGGGAUCGAACAGGAUUAGAUACCCGCGUAGUCCCUGUCUCUUAUAA